AUUGACCGCUGGCGGCAGGCCUAACACAUGCAAGUCGAGCGGAGUGGCGGACGGGUGAGUAAUGCUCAGGAAUCUGCCUGGUAGUGGGGGAUAACGUCCGGACAUGGGCGCUAACACCGCAUACUAUUAGAUGAGCCUAGGUCGGAAUAGCUAGUGGGGGGGGUAAAGGCCUACCAAGGCGACGAUCCGUAACUGGUCUGAGAGGAUGAUCAGUCACACUGGAACGGAGACACGGUCCAGACUCCUACGGGAGGCAGCAGUGGGGAAUAUUGGACAAUGGGCGAAAGCCUGAUCCAGCCAUGCCGCGUGUGUGAAGAAGGUCUUCGGAUUGUAAAGCACUUUAAGUUGGGAGGCGUUACCAACAGAAUAAGCACCGGCUAACUUCGUGCCAGCAGCCGCGGUAAUUC
rnacentral:rRNA from 1 species